rnacentral:rRNA from 1 species
CGCCCUUCGUGCCAGCAGCCGCGGUAAUACGUANGGUGCGAGCGUUAAUCGGAAUUACUGGGCGUAAAGCGAGCGCAGACGGUUAAUUAAGUCAGAUGUGAAAUCCCCGAGCUCAACUUGGGACGUGCAUUUGAAGCUGGUUAACUAGAGUGUGUCAGAGGGAGGUAGAAUUCCACGUGUAGCAGUGAAAUGCGUAGAGAUGUGGAGGAAUACCGAUGGCGAAGGCAGCCUCCUGGGAUAACACUGACGUUCAUGCUCGAAAGCGUGGGUAGCAAACAGGAUUAGAUACCCUGGUAGUCCACGCCCUAAACGAUGACAAUUAGCUGUUGGGACACUAGAUGUUUUAGUAGCGAAGCUAACGCGUGAAAUUGUCCGCCUGGGGAGUACGGUCGCAAGAUUAAAACUCAAAGGAAUUGACGGGGACCCGCACAAGCGGUGGAUGAUGUGGAUUAAUUCGAUGCAACGCGAAGAACCUUACCUGGUCUUGACAUGUACGGAAUCUCUUAGAGAUAGGAGAGUGCCUUCGGGAGCCGUAACACAGGUGCUGCAUGGCUGUCGUCAGCUCGUGUCGUGAGAUGUUGGGUUAAGUCCCGCAACGAGCGCAACCCUUGUCAUUAGUUGCCAUCAUUAAGUUGGGCACUCUAAUGAGACUGCCGGUGACAAACCGGAGGAAGGUGGGGAUGACGUCAAGUCCUCAUGGCCCUUAUGACCAGGGCUUCACACGUCAUACAAUGGUCGGUACAGAGGGUAGCGAAGCCGCGAGGUGAAGCCAAUCUCAGAAAGCCGAUCGUAGUCCGGAUUGCACUCUGCAACUCGAGUGCAUGAAGUCGGAAUCGCUAGUAAUCGCAGGUCAGCAUACUGCGGUGAAUACGUUCCCGGGUCUUGUACACACCGCCCGUCACACCAUGGGAGUGGGGGAUACCAGAAUUGGGUAGACUAACCGCAAGGAGGUCGCUUAACACGGUAUGCUUCAUGACUGGGGUGAAGUCGUAACAAGGUAA